rnacentral:rRNA from 1 species
GACGAACGCUGGCGGCGUGCUUAACACAUGCAAGUCGAACGGAAAGGCCCUGCUUUUGUGGGGUGCUCGAGUGGCGAACGGGUGAGUAACACGUGAGUAACCUGCCCUUGACUUUGGGAUAACUUCAGGAAACUGGGGCUAAUACCGGAUAGGAGCUCCUGCUGCAUGGUGGGGGUUGGAAAGUUUCGGCGGUUGGGGAUGGACUCGCGGCUUAUCAGCUUGUUGGUGGGGUAGUGUCUUACCAAGGCUUUGACGGGUAGCCGGCCUGAGAGGGUGACCGGCCACAUUGGGACUGGGAUACGGCACAGACUCCUACGGGAGGCAGCAGUGGGGAAGAUUGCACAAUGGGCGGAAGCCUGAUGCAGCAACGCCGCGUGGGGGAUGACGGCCUGCGGGUUGUAAACCGCUUUCGCCUGUGACGAAGCGUGAGUGACGGUAAUGGGUAAAGAAGCACCGGCUAACUACGUG